UUAAAAAGCUCGUAGUUGGAUCUCGGCAGUAGAGGGCGGUAUGCUUCGUAGCAUUACUGCCCUAUUACUUGUAGUUUUGCCAGAGGUUCCUGGGUGCUCUUAAUCGAGUGUCUAGGGAUGCUGGCAGGUUUACUUUGAAAAAAUUAGAGUGCUCAAAGCAGGCUUUUACGCCUGAAUAUUCGUGCAUGGAAUAAUAGAAUAGGAAGUCGUUUCUAUUUUGUUGGUUUUCGAAAAUCGACUUAAUGAUUAAUAGGGACAGUCGGGGGCAUUUGUAUUCAAACGACAGAGGUGAAAUUCUUGGACCGUUUGAAGACAAACUACUGCGAAAGCAUUUGCCAAGAAUGUUUUCAUUGAUCAAGAACGAAAGUUAGAGGUUCGAAGGCGAUUAGAUACCGCCCUAGCUCUAACCAUAAACGAUGCCAGCUAGCGAUCUGCCGACGUUUUCUUUGUAGACUCGGCAGGAAGCUUCCGGGAAACCAAAGCAUUUGGGUUCCAGGGGAAGUAUGGUUGCAAAGCUAAAACUUAAAGGAAUUGA
rnacentral:rRNA from 1 species